rnacentral:sRNA from 1 species
UCGAUUCGAGCGAAAGCGAGAAAGCGUUGCCGCAGGCAACGACCCGAAGGGCGAAGCGCGCAGCGCUGAGUAAUCCUUCCCCCACCACCA